rnacentral:rRNA from 1 species
GUGGGGAAUAUUGGACAAUGGGCGCAAGCCUGAUCCAGCCAUGCCGCGUGAGUGAUGAAGGCCUUAGGGUUGUAAAGCUCUUUCACCGGUGAAGAUAAUGACGGUAACCGGAGAAGAAGCCCCGGCUAACUUCGUGCCAGCAGCCGCGGUAAUACGAAGGGGGCUAGCGUUGUUCGGAAUUACUGGGCGUAAAGCGCACGUAGGCGGAUAUUUAAGUCAGGGGUGAAAUCCCAGAGCUCAACUCUGGAACUGCCUUUGAUACUGGGUAUCUCGAGUAUGGAAGAGGUAAGUGGAAUUCCGAGUGUAGAGGUGAAAUUCGUAGAUAUUCGGAGGAACACCAGUGGCGAAGGCGGCUCACUGGCUCGAUACUGACGCUGAGGUGCGAAAGCGUGGGGAGCAAACAGGAUUAGAAACCCUGGUAGUCC